rnacentral:sRNA from 1 species
GACCAAUACCACGUCAAUACUUCACAUCUAACUUCAAACUUUGAGCUGAAACAUGAAAUUUUGUCUCGUGCUUGUGUUUCUUGCUGUUGUGUUUCAUAAUUCACAACAGUCCAAAUUUUUAGGAUGUCUACAGGAAAAAGAUCCGGGGCCAUGCUUUGGUUAUUUUCCAAGAUAUUUCUUUAACAGUAAAAGUGGCAGUUGUGAGCAGUUUAUUUAUGGAGGUUGUCAAGGCAACGCUAACAGAUUUGAAACACAGGAAGCAUGCACUCAGUUGUGCUCUUAAAAAUGUGGCUAUAAAUUCAAAUCAAACAAAAUGAAACGACAAAUCAAUGUUUUAAAGACUACAUGGACUUUGUCUUUCUGAUUAGUGAAACAAAAUAUUUCUUUUGUUCAGACAAAUGUUAUUAUAUUUUUUUUUCGGCUUUGACUUCUAGGUUCAUACUCUAAGAGACUAAAUUAUUCAGGAUUUUUUUUUUGCUUGUUGUUUUGUCAAGUUUAUAUUUUUAAAAACAUUAGAACAGUUUUAGAAAAUGUGAUUUUUGUCAAAGUAACUCAACUAGCUAAUAUUGUAGUUUCUAAUUCAUAUCUUAUUCGCUCAAUAUGUAGAACCAAAUAGAUAUUUUCUUGUAUAUGUUAUAUAUCAAACUUGUUUUAGAGUGAAAACUUGAAAAAUAAAGCAAUACUUUAAAGAAAA